GACGAACGCUGGCGGCAGGCCUAACACAUGCAAGUCGAGCGGAGCGGCGGACGGGUGAGUAAUGCCUAGGAAUCUGCCUGGUAGUGGGGGAUAACGUCCGGAAACGGGCGCUAAUACCGCAUACUAUCAGAUGAGCCUAGGUCGUAUUAGCUAGUUGGUGGGGUAAAGGCCUACCAGGGCGACGAUCCGUAACUGGUCUGAGAGGAUGAUCAGUCACACUGGAACUGAGAAACGGUCGAGCACCCGCCGGGAGGCAGAAUGGGGGAAUAUUGGACAAUGGGGUAAAGCCUGAUCCAGCCAUGCCGCGUGUGUGAAGAGGGUCUUCGGAUUGUAAAGCACUUUAAGUUGGGAGGCGUUACCAACAGAAUAAUCACCGUCUAACUUCGGGCCAGCAGCCGCGGUAAUAC
rnacentral:rRNA from 1 species